rnacentral:pre_miRNA from 1 species
UCAUCCAAACAGGACGCAUUGUCCCAUAUGACCAGGAUAUGCGUCCUCUUUGGAUAUUG